rnacentral:lncRNA from 1 species
CCCAAACGGAUUGGGCUGAGAAUGGAAGCCGCCGCUCAAAUAAUUCAGUCCGAUAAAACAUCCAAGAGCGCGCGUUUCUCGGCGUUUCGGGGACUCCGGUGACGCCGUGGAUUCACGGGUCUUCAUCUGGGUCCAGGGGAUCCACCUUUUUUCCAACCCCUUCUCUGCAGACCGCUGGGAUUCCGACCAGAUGUCAGGGUGCGACAGGAACGCUUUCAUUCGCUUCUUUCGAAGCCUUGCGCCGUGCGCAAAACCUCAGGCGUCACCAGGUUGGACCGUCACGCCGCCAGCGAACCUCGAAAGUUCGCCAGUCGUCAGACGGCCGCGCUGCACUAGAGUACACAUGCUCUCACCUCUAAAAACACGUGAUUAGGCAACUUGAAUCGGUUGCCAUCUGGAGACAGGUGACCAAGGUUGUACGCGGAGAACCCGAGAGCGGCGGGGGGCUGCGCCACUGUGUCCUGUCCCUGACACUGUGUCGGACGCGAUCGACUCGGGUCGUGCCUUGCCUGUUUUUGCCUGCUGCUAGGAACGAGUUCGAAGGCGCUCUCACGUUCGGCAGGAGGAUGCGAUUCUGACGCGAUCGCGUUGUGGACGGUGCGAAUUGCAGAGGAGAACUCCUGAGCGCCUCAGAACCCCGUGACGACGUCUGAGUGAUCAGCUCCCGUCCCGUCCGAGUCGACCGUACACGCCCAGCGAUGGACAUCAUGCACACUUGUGUGCGGUCCUGACAAUAAAGGGUUCGUCGUUGUUUUUCUUGCGCUCUCUCCUAGAGAUAGAGGAUCACUCGAACACUUGGUUUCCAC